ACCUGGGUGGCUCAGUUGGUUAAGCAUCUGACUUCAGUUCAGGUCAUGAUCUCACAGCGCAUGAGUUCUAGUCCCACACCAGGUG
rnacentral:tRNA from 1 species